rnacentral:siRNA from 1 species
UGAAAGACCUACCAGUCAUGAU